CCCAGCCUACCUGUUUGUGAAGUUGUACCAAGAAGCUGGCUAGGUGAGCAAAGGAAAUAUGGACUCCAUGAGGAGAAAAACUGUCUGGUUAUCACUGUGUUACAGUGCCAACCUCUGCACCCAGCACUGUGGGGCUUUGCUUCUACGGACAUAGAUAAAGACUUUCUGCACAUAGAGAACACCUGGCCACCUGCAGCUCCCCCA